UUCUUAAAAGGAAAGGGAGAAGAAAAACAUUUUUAACGCCGACGCGAGAGCGAGCGUGAGAGCGAACGUUGCAUGCACAGGAGCGGCCACACACACGCACAAACACACACACACACACACACACACACACAAAAGCUUGAGUACAGCCUCACCCCGGCUCGCUUCUCUCUCAGGUCUUCUGCUUUUUAUGGACCUCUAUUCCUUUUCCUACACGCUUAAACCGACGUCGUUGCCAGCCGUCGUCGUCGUCACAGAAGUUCUAAGAAGCUGCCUUCGUGCUUAGCAGCCGCAGCUCUCGCGCUUGUCAGUUUCACGACUCCGCAUUCUUCUUUCUUCCGCCCUGCGUCCUUUCUGCGGUGUUUUUUGACGAAGCACCUGCCAGUGUGCCCUGGCGCUCUACUGUGACGGCACAAUUACGCAGCCCCCCCCCCCAAAAAAAAAAAAACAUUCACUAAACCCCCUUUCGACUCCCCAUCCUCGCAUUGCUCUGUCAUCGGGAAUAAAGGGGGAAAGGAUAUGCGCCACACGGUCGAAAUGAUGUCCGCCACACCGAAGCAACCCUCCACCGCCACCACAUCCAUCUCGUCGGGUGAGAAGUGGGACCACUCGCUGGAGACGUUGAUCCGCAAGUCCACGAUUGGGUUCGCCUCUGGUAUUCUACCGGGGCUUUUGCUGGCCCGCUCGCCGGCGGCACGCAGUGCCAUCAUCGCCCUGUGCACCGGCGUGGGUAGCGGUAUCGCUUAUGGUGAGGCGCGCUACCUUUUCGAUCACGAUAUCAUGUUCGACAAGCGUCACUUGAUUCAGGUGCAGGUGGUCGGCGGCAGUAGCAGUCAGCAAAACGGCGACCAGAAGUCUAUUGAGUAGAAAAGCUCGCAGGUGACGGAGCCGCCGAGCGUAGAGGGGAGAGGGUGGAGCGGGCGAAAAUGUGCAGUUAGCGUCCCACAGAAAACGCGGGCACUGCUGCGGCUCGUGCUUGUAGGGCCCUUUCAUGUCGGGUGUCGUUCUUAGACGUGCUGCUGUGCUUCCUCACCCCGCAUCACGCGUACAUCGAUGCGUCGCUGUGCUGUCACUUCUUUCUCUUGCUAUUUACGCAUGUGUGCGCACGUGGUGCCGGAGAAGCCUGUAUGCGUGUCUCUGUCGUUGUUUGUUGUGUCCUCGAUUUGUGAGCGCAGCGCGUGCGCUGGGGGUUUCCUUGUUUUUUUUUCUUCGUUUCCCGUUGCCCUUGUCGGUUUCUGUAUUACAGUUCUCGUAGCCAAAGUGGAGAAGGCCGGGAGGGGAAGGAAGAGGGGGCGGUGGGGGUUGGGGCAUGCAAUGCAUCCAACUUGCUUGCCCCCACUUUCAGUGGUACAGUGAGUCAGCCCAUCCUUUGGCAGCCUUUCCUGUUGGCAUCCUUGGCUAGUGUGCUGCCACCGAUGGCCUCCACGCACGUACGCUAACGGAUGGUGUGCGUACGUGCGUGUGCGCAAGCGAUGGGCGGCCCAUGCUGGCCAACACAACGAGAACCCCACCCUUCCCUGUGUGCCUUCCCACUCAGACGCAAACAAGCAAAGCAUACACAACAACCGCACGAAGCGAUCAUCGCCGCAUCGGUCGUCUCUGUGAAUCGAAUGCAUCUCUGCGAGGAUCCUCUCCUGCGGCGAGAACUUUGCCCUCACCUCUAUCCCUCAAAUGUGACGUGAAUGCGGACGGGCCGUGCGAGUGCGCGCGCAACAGCUCUGUUGCCUCGCGUCACGACAAGGGAAGUGUGUGCUGUGCGUGGCGGGGAGGGGGAGGGGGAGUUUGGAGCCGCUGCUCCGCUCCUUGCCAAGUGAGGCGGACUCAUGCCACCGGUGCCUUCACGAAGCAGCGCGCCGACUUCCAUCACCCACGGCACGUUUUCUUCUAUCUCGGGCGACGGUGCGUGUACGCUUUUCGUUUUCUCUUCGGUAG
rnacentral:misc_RNA from 1 species